GAGGGUGCAGUUCAGUGGUAGAGCGCGUGCUUAGCAUGCACGAGGUCCGGGGUUCAAUCCCCAGUGCCUCCA
rnacentral:tRNA from 1 species